CUGAUGUCUUAUGUGAGCUCUGGUUUUGCUUACAGUAGUGUGUGAGUAUACUGUUUAUUUGUUGAUUUGCAAGGAAAUGGGUACUUAUUUGAUUGCAGUCACAAGUACCUGCAGUGUGGAAAAACAUGUUCUGGCAAGUGCAUGGGCUCAUGAACGUGCACACACCAGGAAAACCAUCACAGAUGUGCAACGGGAUUUUGCAGUAGGAUUCCGUAAAGAUGCUCCAUCAGAGCAAAUGAUAUUGUGAUAGCAACAGGAACUCUUCAGAACUGGAUCAAUUCUGGAUAGAAAUUGGGCAGGCCAACCAUCAAUAUGACAAUGAAUGUGCGGCAGUGGCGGAUUCUGUAACUAGAUCUCCCAUGAAAUUAUUGUGGAAAUUGCUGAACUUGGAAUUCCAAAAAUGACUUUGCUGACACGCAUGAAAAAAGAUGUGGAAUUUAAACCUUUGAGGCUAACAUUCGUAAAUGAGUUGAGUGUCGAGUACAUGUGGCAAAGUCGUGAAGCUUGCUCAAGAUUACUCGAUGUGUUUGUGGUGCUCCCACAGUGGGGCAAAGUUUUCUUUUGAUUUCCACUGAUAUGGACCUUAAUGAAUAUAAUAGGCCCUUCUGUGCAAGUAUGGGACCUUACCUAUGUGAAAAUUGAAGUCACAGUGAUAGUACUAGUGGAUCAGUUGGGAAAUGCUGUGUCUCAUUGUAGUUUUCCUCAAGUUCAAGGCAGUUGUGGCAACAGUAUAGUGAAUAUACAGAACUGCCCAAUUUGGGGUACUUUUAAACCUUGUGUUGUGCUCAAAGGGCCAUAGCCCUCGCCGCUUGUGAUAUGUCCGGAAUUACAGUCACCUUUAUUCAUGGUCCACUCUUCUUUGAAGAAAAUACGCCCAGGUGUACUAUGUGACGUCUGCACAUUAUCGAGAACUUGUACAGCAGCUGUGUGGAAGCCAUUGUUUUUGUGCAAGAUGGGGCCUAAUCUCAUGUCACUCGCCCAGUGAUAGAGACUGAGAGACGUGUUCACGUUAAUAACCAUGAUCUGUCACUUGUGACAAGUUCAGAUACAUCAAGUUGGUAUUACAUGAUUUACCCGAGUAUAAAUGGUCAAGUGAAACAUUAAAUUUAAGAUCAAAAUUUGUGGUACCAUGACAGAGAUGAAGCAAGCAAUCGGCAGCUCAACAGCAGACCAGAUGAAAGCCUAUGAAGAAUAUUGCCAGCAAACUGUAAUUUUCAUAUGUUAAGUAUUGAAAGUUGCAUAUGUACUAACCAGUUAUUUUAUGCAAGUGAAGAGGAAGUCAUGGAGGACUGCAUCAAACUAGUCUGAAGACUUUUCACCAAAUCUCGAUUACUCUUUCUUACAAGAAUAUAUGAAUUGAUUUUUUUCUGCUAUGGAGAUCGAGAAGAAAACUGUAUGCGCCUACAGACUGACUUCUAGUGUAGCCGGAAGCCUAGAUUAGGAAGGCGUGUGACAAUUUUACUGUGAAUUGGCAAAGCACUAGAUUACAGG